rnacentral:sRNA from 1 species
UCAUUUAAAUUCAAUCACAGGUUGACCAUGGAAUCCGUUUGGAGUCUAAUCACUUCCUAUAAAUG